AUUGAACGCUGGCGGCAUGCCUUACACAUGCAAGUCGAACGGCAGCAUGGGUGCUUGCACCUGAUGGCGAGUGGCGAACGGGUGAGUAAUACAUCGGAACGUACCCGGAAGUGGGGGAUAACGUAGCGAAAGUUACGCUAAUACCGCAUAUUCUGUGAGCAGGAAAGAGGGGGAUCGCAAGACCUCUCGCUUUCGGAGCGGCCGAUGUCGGAUUAGCUAGUUGGCGGGGUAAAGGCCCACCAAGGCAACGAUCCGUAGCGGGUCUGAGAGGAUGAUCCGCCACACUGGGACUGAGACACGGCCCAGACUCCUACGGGAGGCAGCAGUGGGGAAUUUUGGACAAUGGGGGCAACCCUGAUCCAGCCAUGCCGCGUGAGUGAAGAAGGCCUUCGGGUUGUAAAGCUCUUUCGGCCGGGAAGAAAUCGCACAGGCUAAUACCUUGUGUGGAUGACGGUACCGGAAUAAGAGGCACCGGCUAACUACGUGCCAGCCGCCGCCGUAAUAC
rnacentral:rRNA from 1 species